rnacentral:rRNA from 1 species
AGUGGCGGACCGUUGAGUAAUGUCUGGGAAACUGCCUGAUGGAGGGGGAUAACCACUGGAAACGGUAGCUAAUACCGCAUAACGUCGCAAGACCAAAGAGGGGGACCUUCGGGCCUCUUGCCAUCGGAUGUGCCCAGAUGGGAUUAGCUAGUAGGUGGGGUAACGGCUCACCUAGGCGACGAUCCCUAGCUGGUCUGAGAGGAUGACCAGCCACACUGGAACUGAGACACGGUCCAGACUCCUACGGGAGGCAGCAGUGGGGAAUAUUGCACAAUGGGCGCAAGCCUGAUGCAGCCAUGCCGCGUGUAUGAAGAAGGCCUUCGGGUUGUAAAGUACUUUCAGCGGGGAGGAAGGCGAUAAGGUUAAUAACCUUGUCGAUUGACGUUACCCGCAGAAGAAGCACCGGCUAACUCCGUGCCAGCAGCCGCGGUAAUACGGAGGGUGCAAGCGUUAAUCGGAAUUACUGGGCGUAAAGCGCACGCAGGCGGUCUGUCAAGUCGGAUGUGAAAUCCCCGGGCUCAACCUGGGAACUGCAUUCGAAACUGGCAGGCUAGAGUCUUGUA